UCUGCCUUAUCGGCAAGCGGUCUCUCUAGAGUGCCCAACUUAAUGCUGGCAACUAAAGACAAGGGUUGCGCUCGUUGCGGGACUUAACCCAACAUCUCACGACACGAGCUGACGACAGCCAUGCAGCACCUGUCACCGCGUCCCCGAAGGGAUUUCACCGCUUUCACGGAUAUGCGCGGGAUGUCAAGCCUAGGUAAGGUUUUGCGCGUUGCAUCGAAUUGAACCACAUAAUCCACCGCUUGUGCGGGCCCCCGUCAAUUUCUUUGAGUUUUAAUCUUGCGACCGUACUUCCCAGGCGGGGUACUUAGCGCGUUAGCUGCGUCACCGCACGGGUAAGAACGUGCGACAACUAGUACCCAUCGUUUACGGUGUGGACUAC
rnacentral:misc_RNA from 1 species